CAUUUCUUUCCUUCUGCAGAUGAAAAACGAAAUCUCACAGAGCAGUAAACCAGAUGUACAGAGGAGACAGCUAUGGACCUACUGAGAACUAUGGAGAACUUUAAAAAGAGCUGAAGAGGGAGGAAAUGUGCGGAACAGAAAAUUAAAUGGGCCUCAGGUCAUGAACACACCUGCAGCAUCCCUCUCUGUAUUGCUUCCCUGAGAAGACUGUGGGGCUGAAGCCCAAGUUUUAGAGAACCAUGUAGAUCCUUCACCUGGAGAGAAAGUGCACGGAUAUAUGGGCUCACAGAUAAAUGGUUCUGGCCCAUACACCCUCUGGAAGUCACAGGCGUCAGCUGAAAGCCUACAGAUCUCGUCAAAACGAAAUGGGAAACUCCUGACUCUGACAUGGCCUUGGAGAGCGACUGCAUAAAGAUGGCCCCAUCUGAGUGUAAGUGCCCUUGGAGACAUGGAAAAAGCCUCCUUCCCGUAGCUCUGAUGCAUGACAAAUAAGCCAGAUGAAACUCUGGUAUAUGAGUGAUGUUAACAUAUUACUAAUUCCUAAUUUUUAGUGCAGUCCAGUAUUACUUGGAAAAGUGUUUUUUGAGGAAACAA